UACCCGCUGAACUUAACUA
rnacentral:rRNA from 1 species